rnacentral:rRNA from 1 species
CUUGCUCCCUGGUGGCGAGCGGCGGACGGGUGAGUAAUGCAUAGGAAUCUGCCCGGUAGUGGGGGAUAACCUGGGGAAACCCAGGCUAAUACCGCAUACGUCCUACGGGAGAAAGCAGGGGACCUUCGGGCCUUGCGCUAUCGGAUGAGCCUAUGUCGGAUUAGCUGGUUGGUGAGGUAACGGCUCACCAAGGCGACGAUCCGUAGCUGGUCUGAGAGGAUGAUCAGCCACAUCGGGACUGAGACACGGCCCGAACUCCUACGGGAGGCAGCAGUGGGGAAUAUUGGACAAUGGGCGCAAGCCUGAUCCAGCCAUGCCGCGUGUGUGAAGAAGGCCCUCGGGUUGUAAAGCACUUUCAGUGGGGAAGAACGCCUUCCGGCUAAUACCCGGGAGGAAAGACAUCACCCACAGAAGAAGCACCGGCUAACUCCGUGCCAGCAGCCGCGGUAAUACGGAGGGUGCGAGCGUUAAUCGGAAUUACUGGGCGUAAAGCGCGCGUAGGCGGCUUGAUAAGCCGGUUGUGAAAGCCCCGGGCUCAACCUGGGAACGGCAUCCGGAACUGUCAGGCUAGAGUGCAGGAGAGGAAGGUAGAAUUCCCGGUGUAGCGGUGAAAUGCGUAGAGAUCGGGAGGAAUACCAGUGGCGAAGGCGGCCUUCUGGACUGACACUGACGCUGAGGUGCGAAAGCGUGGGUAGCAAACAGGAUUAGAUACCCUGGUAGUCCACGCCGUAAACGAUGUCGACUAGCCGUUGGGUCCUUCGCGGACUUUGUGGCGCAGUUAACGCGAUAAGUCGACCGCCUGGGGAGUACGGCCGCAAGGUUAAAACUCAAAUGAAUUGACGGGGGCCCGCACAAGCGGUGGAGCAUGUGGUUUAAUUCGAUGCAACGCGAAGAACCUUACCUACCCUUGACAUCCUGCGAACCCUUCGGAGACGAAGGGGUGCCUUCGGGAACGCAGAGACAGGUGCUGCAUGGCUGUCGUCAGCUCGUGUUGUGAAAUGUUGGGUUAAGUCCCGUAACGAGCGCAACCCUUGUCCCUAUUUGCCAGCGAUUCGGUCGGGAACUCUAGGGAGACUGCCGGUGACAAACCGGAGGAAGGUGGGGACGACGUCAAGUCAUCAUGGCCCUUACGGGUAGGGCUACACACGUGCUACAAUGGUCAGUACAAAGGGUUGCGAACUUGCGAGAGUGAGCCAAUCCCAGAAAGCUGAUCUCAGUCCGGAUCGGAGUCUGCAACUCGACUCCGUGAAGUCGGAAUCGCUAGUAAUCGUGAAUCAGAAUGUCACGGUGAAUACGUUCCCGGGCCUUGUACACACCGCCCGUCACACCAUGGGAGUGGACUGCACCAGAA